GUGCGUGUGUGUGUGUGUGUGUGUGUGUGUGUGUGUCGGUGUGUGUGUGAAAGAAGUUUACUAGUUUACGAUAAUGUGCGUACGUGUAAAUCGUAUUUUAUGCACAUUUCCCGCUGAUUGCAAGAUAUUGUGUUCCACAACAAUGUAACAACAACAAUAGAAUGGAACAAACAAA